rnacentral:misc_RNA from 1 species
CAAUAAUCCACCCUAAUCUCCUGUUGUUAAAGCAAUUAAUGGCGAAUCCGACGGCGUUUCAGCUACCGGCACAGACGACAUACCCGCCGUUGGCGAAUCCGGUGGCUGUGGUAAGCCCCCAGUUCAUCGCUCCCUAUCCCGUGGAUCUGAGAAUCACGAAGAAGCUGAUGACCCUGGCGGAAGGUUCGUUCGCGGUCACGGACGUUAACGGCACCGUGUUGUUCAAGGUGAAAGGAUCUGUGUUCAGCCUUCACGAUCGCCGUGUUCUUCUUGACGCCGCCGGGAAACCCAUCAUCUCUUUCCAACAGAAGCUGUUUUCAGCGCAUAGAAAAUGGUAUGCGUACAGAGGGGAGAGCUCAGAUUCGAAAGAUCUGCUGUUCACGGUGAAGAAAUCGUCGAUUUUACAACUGAGGACACAACUGGAUGUGAUAUUAGCCUCAAACACAUCGGAAAGCAGCUGCGAUUUUAAGAUAAAAGGAAGCUGGCUAGAGAGAUCUUGCACCAUUUCCUUGGCGGACGGCUCCACCAUCAUCGCUCAGAUGCACAAACAGCACAAUCUGCAGAGCAUUAUGUUGGAUAAAGACACUUUUGGAGUGACGGUUUAUCCCAACGUGGAUUUUGCCUUCAUCGUUGCGCUGGUCGUCAUUCUGUUCGAG